AACGAACGCUGGCGGCGUACUUAACACAUGCAAGUCAGACGAGAAAGGAGACUUCGGUCUCCGAGUACAGUGGCGCACGGGUGCGUAACACGUAAGUAAUCUACCCCGAACCCUGGGAUAACCCUCCGAAAGGAGGGCUAAUACUGGAUAGGGUCCCCGAGGUAUAGGCUGCGGGGGGAAAACGGGCCUCUGUUUCAUGCUCGCGGUUCGGGAUGAGCUUGCGGCCCAUUAGCUAGUUGGUAAGGUAAUGGCUUACCAAGGCAACGAUGGGUAGCUAGUCUGAGAGGAUGAUCAGCCACACUGGCACUGAGACACGGGCCAGACUUUUACGGGAGGCAGCAGUGGGGAAUUUUGCGCAAUGGGCGAAAGCCUGACGCAGUAACGCCGCGUGGAGGAUGAAGGCCUUCGGGUUGUAAACUCCUGUCAGGAGGAACGACGGGGAAAGGGUGAUAAAGUUUUUCCUCCAGACGGUACCUCCAAAGGAAGCUUUGGCUAAUUC
rnacentral:rRNA from 1 species